rnacentral:tRNA from 1 species
AAAGGAAUAAGGUCAAACCAAAAAUAAGCUUCUAACUUAUUAUUUAGCAAACUUGUUAGU